UGAGUCAGCCGGAUAAUCGCUGCCUGUGACGAAAAUGAUCAGGGGGAGGAAAGUCCGGGCUCCACAGGGCAGGGUGCCAGCUAACGGCUGGGGGGCGUGAGCCUACGACAAGUGCAGCAGAGAGAAAACCGCCUAAGUCCUUCGGGACCGGUAAGGGUGAAAGGGUGCGGUAAGAGCGCACCGGGCCACUGGUAACAGUUGGUUGCAAGGUAAACUCCACCCGGAGCAAGACCAAAUAGGGUUCCUUAUGGUGUGGCCCACAUCGGAACCGGGUAGGUUGCUUGAGCCAUAGAGCAAUUUAUGGCCUAGACGAAUGAUUAUCGAUCUCCUUCGGGAGUGAACAGAACCCGGCUUAUAGGCUGACUCAAAUA
rfam:Pseudoalteromonas ruthenica strain S3137 contig0010, whole genome shotgun sequence.